rnacentral:rRNA from 1 species
CCCCUAGAUGUUCUGGGCCGCACGCGCGCUACACUGAACAGUUCAACAAGUCUUAACCUUGGCCGAUAGGUCUGGGUAAUCUUUGAACGCUGUUCGUGAUUGGGAUAGACCUUUGCAAUUAUGGGUCUUCAACGAGGAAUUCCUAGUAAACGCAAGUCAUCAGCUUGCAUUGAUUACGUCCCUGCCCUUUGUACACACCGCCCGUCGCACCUACCGAUUGAAUGGUCCGGUGAAAUCUCGGGACGGCGGCUUGGUCGCUUGCGUCCGACUGCUGAAACUUGAUUAAACCAUUUCAUUUAGAGGAAGGUGAAGUCGUAACA